rnacentral:rRNA from 1 species
UCGGAUUGUAGUCUGCAACUCGACUACAUGAAGCUGGAANCGCUAGUAAUCGCGAAUCAGAAUGUCGCGGUGAAUACGUUCCCGGGUCUUGUACACACCGCCCGUCACACCAUGGGAGUCAGUAACGCCCGAAGCCGGUGACCCAACCAGUUCAGGAGGGAGCCGUCGAAGGUGGGACCGAUAACUGGGGUGAAGUCGUAACAAGGUACC